rnacentral:pre_miRNA from 1 species
CUACUACUCCCUCCGUCCGAAAAUACUUGUCAUUGAAAUGGAUGUAUCUAGAUGUAUUUUAGUUCUAGACACAUCCAUUUUGAUGACAAGUAAUUUUGGAUGGAGGGAGUAUUAU